AUGUAUAAAGCAUCCGCGCAGGAGGCAGUAGGCAGCCGUGGGCCCAGCCGGAACGGCGUGAUCCUGAAGCCCCACUUCCCCCAGGACUGGCAGCGGCGCGUGGCCACGUGGUUCACCCAGCCUGCGCUGAAGAUCCGCAGACUCAAGGCCCGCGCAAGCCAAAGGCGCGCUGCAUCGCCCGCGCGGCCCGCGUUGAGACCCCUCUGGCUCCUCACGCGGUGCCCCCCUGUGCGGUAUCAAACCAAGGUGUGCGCCCGCCGCGGCUUCAGCCCGGAGGAGCUCAGGGUGACGGACAUUCACAAGAAGGUGGCUGGGAUCACUGACAUCUCUGUAGAUUGUGGACUCGAGAGGGCAGCACAAGUCCACCGAGCCCCUGCAGGCCAAUGUGCGGCGGCUCAAGGAGCACUUCUCCAAACGCACCCUCUUUCCCAGGAAGCCCUCGGCCCCCAAGAAGGGAGACAGUUCUGCUGAAGAACUGAAACUGGUCACCCAGCUGACAGGACCGGUCAUGCCCAUCCGGAAUUUCUGUAAGAAGGAGAAAGCCCGGCCGGCUACCACUGAGAAGUAGAGGACUUUCAAAGCUUUCCCUAGUCUCAGCAGGGACCGGUGCCAACACCUGGCUCUUUGACAUACGGGCAAAAAGAGCCAAGGAAGCUGCAAAACAGGAUGUUGAAAAGAAAAAAUAA